CUUCACCGGAGGCAGCGUGGCGCAAAGAAGAGCAUGGCUUCUGGGGCCGAUGACGUUCUCACUCUAUGACCUUGACCACUCUAUGACCUUGACCACGUGUCGAAGCAGCUCUGAGCCAGCUUCUUCCCAUGUGAGCGGAGGGUAUUUGUUGCGAGGAUUAGCUAAGCUAACACGGCUACAGCGCUCGGGGCCACACCAGGCACGUUGGCCAGCCAAAAACCUUCGGACUGAGCUCUGGGGAGCACAGAGGAGUCACAGCUACACACACCUUCCAGGAGGACCAGGAAGAAGGGCCCCAGGCCAUGUGCAUAAUCAAAGGGGCCAGGGGAUGAAGCCAAUCCAAGGAAGGAAGAGAUGGGCCAGACCUGCGGCCAGAAGGAAGCCAGCUCCCACACCUGGGGCCAUCAAGCCAUCUCCAGCCCUCGCCCAGAAGGCUUUUGUAAAAGGCCUGGUGGGAAGGAAGCUUCAACUAAUCCAACUGAUUCAAACCUAACAACACCAGCUACGCACAAGGCCCUGUGCUGAGCCAGACGAUGCCACGGUGAGCUGUGGCCUGGGAAGGUGAGUUCUGACCACGGGAAAGGAACUUUUGUGGCCAAAGUGCGAUCCCACGGGGGCUAGGAAGAUGGAGAAAUCACGGGUGCUUGGAGGGAGGGUCUGGGAAAGGAAGAGGUGGCAUUUUACCCCAGGCCAUCAAGUCAGGGCUGGCUUCAACAGUCAGGUCAGGGAGGAAGGCCUCCCAGACAGAGGGAAGAGCGUGAGCCAGAGCAAGGAGGCAGGAUGUUGAGAAGCCUCUAAGGGCUGGGGCCGGGAAGCUCCUGGGGGAGGCUCUGCCAGGGCCUGGGGCAGAGAGUGCCCUUGCUGGGGUGGGGAACCGCAGGGAGGAAACAGAUGGCAGCCCAGCCCUGGGGCCAGUGUGGAAGGGGACAGUGGGAGGGGGGGAGUGGAGGAAGAAGACAGAGGAGCCAGAGGCCACUGGGAUUUUAACCUGCAGGGGGAUGGGAAGAAUGACUGGAACCAAUUAUUCAAAACUCUGCAGGGCUUAGCAAUGUGCUCAAUAAUACACAGCAAUACAUAAUUCAGUGUGUGCUCAGUAAAUGCCAUCACCAUCCUGCCAGGGGCUGAGGCCAAAAUCUCAGUCAUCCUCAAACCCUCUCCAGGACAUGCAGACCUUCAGUAAGCUGCAUUGCUCUCCCUCCCGAAUACCCCUGCACCCCACCACCACGCCCCUCUCCUCCCAAUGCUCCCCAUUCCCCUACCUGGAAGGCUCUGUCCCCACAUCUUCCUGUGGCCACCUCCUGCGCCUCAAGUCACCUCCUCCAAGAAGCUUCCCCUGACCACCAGUCCCCUUCCCAGUCACUCAUGUUGCCCCAUUUUUUUUUUUAAUUGAUGUCUGUCUGAACACUCGCUUCCCCCACCCAACCUCUCUUGGCUUGUCCAUAUCUAUAUCCCCAACCUUUGGAACAGUGUCAAGCACAGAAUAUGUACUCAAUAAAUAUUUGUUGAACUGCCCAUAAUGCCACUGUAGGAAUGCAGGGUCUCCUGGUCACUGUAUUCCCAGACGUGAUAUUUGCUGCCUGGAGCUGCUGUUUCCAGGAGAUGCACCCCGAGACUAGGUCAGACAAGGGCAGUCACUGCCAGUGCCUAGGGAGCCUUCCAUAUGGAUGGGGGCCAUCUGGAUAAGGCUGUCAGCAAGUGGUGGCCCCAUCAGAGAGAGAGAGAAAGGGAGAAGGAAGUCACAGCCCUAUAGGCAGACACUUCUCUGCAGCCCAAAGUCUGGAGGGGGUUUGCGGCACGCAGACUGAUGUAAUUUCCUCAGCACCAACUGCUGUGGGAAACCUAACAGGUUACCUUCCUCGUCCCUGGGGACAGCAGGGCACACCAGCAGACACGGACGCCUGGCACCUUUCCCAUGGUCCGGUCAGGCCUGCAGCUGCCGGGUACAGGUUGGCCUAGCCGGGGAUCCCUCACACAACACUGAGGCGGGGCUUUGAACCAAACCCAUCUGCGGCCUCUGUCAGCCCCACCCAUUUCCUUGGCCUUGAACUGCUCUGCCUCCCUUCCCGGUGAGGUCCUACCCCGCGCCUCUCCACGAACCGGUCUCUUUGGAUCCUGACAAUAGGAUACAAAUAUAGGCCAUUUGACAGACCAAAAACUGAGGCCAGGCCACACGGGUAGUGCCAAAGGCACACCUAGAACCCAGGUCUUUGCCUGUUGGCCCGGGGCUAUUCCUGCUAGUCAUUCACAACAGUUUCUAAAAUUAAUAAGAAAUGAGAAGUAUGUGUGUGUCCAUACAUGGAAACGUCCCUGUGAAAUGCGAAACGAACACGGCACAACCGGAGAAAACAGGGCCACGCUCGUAGUUGGUGGUGUCUGCGCCCCCACACCCCUGCCCCUGAGCUCCUCAAGGGCAGGGGCAUUGCCUCGUUGACCUCCGUCACCCAGGACACCCGGCACGGGGCCGGAACGGCGCGCGCGCCCCACACUUGGCUCCAGCACCGC